AUACGUAGGGAGCGAGCGUUGUCCGGAAUUACUGGGUGUAAAGGGAGCGUAGGCGGGAUCGCAAGUCAGAUGUGAAAUACAUGGGCUUAACCCAUGGGCUGCAUUUGAAACUGUGGUUCUUGAGUGAAGUAGAGGGAAGCGGAAUUCCUGGGGUAGCGGUGAAAUGCGUAGAUAUCAGGAGGUACACCGGUGGCGAAGGCGGCUUACUGGGCUUUUACUGACGCUGAGGCUCGAAAGCGUGGGGAGCAAACAGGAGUAGAUACCCUGGUAGUCCACGCUGGAAACGAUGAUUACUAGGUGUGGGGGGACUGACCCCUUCCGUGCCGCAGUUAACACAAUAAGUAAUCCACCUGGGGAGUACGGCCGCAAGGCUAAAACUCAAAUGAAUUGACGGGG
rnacentral:rRNA from 1 species